AAAAACCAGAACCCAUCGGAUUCCCCACUCCCAGCUCACACAAAACGACCCCAUCUCCAUUUCCAUCUCCAUCUUAACCCUAAGCCACUAAUCUCUAGAACUACGACAAACCUUCUGCUUCUUUAUGCCUGAACACCUACCUAACCAAAAGACAACCACAGUCAUUCCUUUAACUUCUUCGGCAUUCUAACCCUAAGAAUCCCUAAAAAAUCAGCCGAAAAAAAUAAUCUUCUUCUCAUCCCUGACUUCAGCGUUCCCCCUUCCAAACAACAACCCUCAGUUGUUCCCUUUUCUUCAUCGUAGAGACACCACCCCAGUGCUGAUUACCCGCCGAAAAAAUUCCAACAGCCGCUGUCGCCCCACCCAAACAACACACAACCAUAUAAACAAACACACACACAAAGAACACCGAAAAUCAGUGAUGCACCAAAUUUUCAAGCCUCUUACCUGUAGUUGCUGGAAACCAACCAGCUCUCACCCUUUCCAUGGCUGCUGCCGGAGGUGAUGACCGACGAUGACUAUGCCUGUCACUUUGGUGCCUAGCCGCUGUUUCUGACCUUUCUUUCCCCUCUACUAUCACUGUUUUGCCAGAGUCGCACCAUCGACAUUGAACGAACAAAAAACACGCGAUAGUCGUCAAAACUGCUGAAAUUUUUUUCUGUUGAGUUGUAUCUGAAAUUGAGAUGUUGAUGUCGUUUGAUGUCGUAGUUUGAGGUGUCUGUGCAGAAUAGAGGUUCUGUUGUGGUCCCUGGCUUAUGGUCUGUUCGUGUUCAACUACAGUGUCGCUUUCUUCUUGUAAACCAGUUGGAAGAUCUCUUAUAUAUUGAAAGGUUUCAAAGGUCAAUUGUUUUCUCCUUUACCAUUUUGCUUGGAAGAUCAUGCUUGGUUAAAUUUCUUAAUCUGUUAUGGUUGUCUCUUUUGAAUUGUUCGUGUUGGUAAAUUUAUGUCGUAUUGUGUGGUGGAAUAUUAUGUGUUCUGUU
rnacentral:lncRNA from 1 species